AUGCACAACAAGAACAAUAUUCUGGAUGAAUCAUGUAAGUGGGGUUUAAGAAGGAUAGAAUAUAUACAGUUAUUUGGUGGAGGGAGUAAUAUGCACGAGUAUAUAUACCCUAGAAACCCCAAAUCUGAUCAAAGUUGAUGGGAGAAAAGAAGAGAAACAAAGCAUAAUUUCCCUUUUGCAUAUCUUUUCGAUUUCAAUGGUUGAUUUCGGAGAGAGGCGUCACCACUAUGCAUCUCAAAUUAGAUUCCGUUCUCGACCGAUAUUUAACUUGCAUCAGUAUAGUAAUAAAAGUGGUAAUAUCAAGAGUGAUUUACCUACUUUAGUGCUUCAGUUUACCCUUUUUGCUCGCCAAGAGGCUUGGCGUAAAUCACCUGUAAAUCAACCCUCAGAACUCAUAUAUUUGAAUGAAUUUUAUAAAUUUGAGACAAGAUCAUGUGAGGUUAAACUAUGCCCUUCUCAAUACACGUCAGACGACGUGUUUUUCAGUGUUCUUAAAGAACAUUUCACCAAUUGGGGUGACUAUUAUGAGGUUUCUGAUGACUAUGUCAUCAGACAAAUGAUACUUCAAAUGGAUAAAAUUCUUGAACGUGUAUUGAAAAGGGUUGAUAAAACUAAUUGUGAAUACUUGGAGAUUUUUGUUGAUAUUGCUUUGAAAAUGGAAUAUGUUUUGGAUGGGAGGAUGCAAGGAAUACCGCGGCGCUUGAAUGGGGGUAUGGUACCUGCUACUAAGACUUCAGUAAUGGAGUUGCCAGAGAGAAUGGAUAUUGAUGAUGAUCAAUGUUUGAAGGAUAUUGAAUGUGUUAUCUGUCUUGAACAACUUGCACUCAAGAAGGAGGGUGGAAAGAUCAUUUGCAUGCCUUGCUCCCAUAUGUUUCAUGGAGAUUGUAUUACAACCUGGUUAGAAACGAGCCAUUAUUGUCCUAUUUGCCGCUAUGACUUGCCAACACCAUGA